CUGGUUCAGGAUGAACGCUAGCGACAGGCCUAACACAUGCAAGUCGAGGGGCAGCACAAGGAGCAAUCUGAGGUGGCGACCGGCGCACGGGUGAGUAACACGUAUGCAACCUGCCUGUAAGCGGGGAAUAACCCGUUGAAAGACGGACUAAUACCGCAUAAUACUAAAUUACUGCAUGGUAAUUUAUUUAAACAUUUAUGGCUUACAGAUGGGCAUGCGCAUGAUUAGCUAGUUGGAGAGGUAACGGCUCCCCAAGGCAACGAUCAUUAGGGGUUCUGAGAGGAAGGUCCCCCCACACUGGUACUGAGACACGGACCAGACUCCUACGGGAGGCAGCAGUGAGGAAUAUUGGUCAAUGGACGAGAGUCUGAACCAGCCAAGUCGCGUGCAGGAAGAAUGUCCUAUGGAUUGUAAACUGCUUUUGCAGGGGAAUAAAGUGCAUCACGUGUGAUGUUUUGUAUGUACUCUGCGAAUAAGGAUCGGCUAACUCCGUGCCAGCCGCCGC
rnacentral:rRNA from 1 species